rnacentral:rRNA from 1 species
AACGAACGCUGGCGGCAUGCCUAACACAUGCAAGUCGAACGAGACCUUCGGGUCUAGUGGCGCACGGGUGCGUAACGCGUGGGAACCUGCCUUUAGGUUCGGAAUAACUCAGAGAAAUUUGAGCUAAUACCGGAUAAUGUCUUCGGACCAAAGAUUUAUCGCCUUUAGAUGGGCCCGCGUUGGAUUAGCUAGUUGGUGGGGUAAAGGCCUACCAAGGCGACGAUCCAUAGCUGGUCUGAGAGGAUGAUCAGCCACACUGGGACUGAGACGCGGCCCAGACUCCUACAGGAGGCGGCAGUGGGGAAUAUUGGACAAUGGGCGAAAGCCUGAUCCAGCAAUGCCGCGUGAGUGAUGAAGGCCUUAGGGUUGUAAGGCUCUUUUACCCGAGAUGAUAAUGACAGUAUCGGGAGAAUAAGCUCCGGCUAACUCCGUGCCAGCAGCCGCCGUAA